GACGAACGCUGGCGGCGUGCUUAACACAUGCAAGUCGAACGGAAAGGCCCUGCUUUUGUGGGGUGCUCGAGUGGCGAACGGGUGAGUAACACGUGAGUAACCUGCCCUUGACUUUGGGAUAACUUCAGGAAACUGGGGCUAAUACCGGAUCGGAGCUCCUGCUGCAUGGUGGGGGUUGGAACGUUUCGGCGGUUGGGGAUGGACUCGCGGCUGAUCAGCUUGUUGGUUGGGUAGUGGCUUACCAAGGCUUUGACGGGUAGCCGGCCUGAGAGGGUGACCGGCCACAUUGGGACUGAGGUACGGCCCAGAGUCCUACGGGAGGCAGCAGUGGGGAAUAUUGUACAAUGGGCGGAAGCCUGAUGCAGCAACGCCGCGUGCGGGAUGACGGCCUUCGGGUUGUAAACCGCUUUCGCCUGUGACGAAGCGUGAGUGACGGUAAUGGGUAAAGAAGCACCGGCUAACUACGUG
rnacentral:rRNA from 1 species